rnacentral:lncRNA from 1 species
UGCUCCCUUCUUUCUUCGCAAGCACAUCCCUUCCCUUCUCUAGUUUGGCCCUCGGUUUCUUCUUUCCUUCAUGCUCAGGUCCCCCUUCUUUCUUUCCCGUCCUUGUCUUGUAUUCUUCGGCCUCUUAGUCAGAAUCUUGAGGUUUAUAGUGCCUUUGCGCACUUUUCUACAGAAGAAACAAAUGAUGAGUAAAUGAUCUUUUUUUAUGAUUAUCAAGCAAUAUUCAAUCAAUCAUGGCAAGAAUGGACGGAUAUAUCACGAUAGAUGCUACAUUUGAGUACCAAAAUUAUAUAUGUGAAAUAUACUUAUCAAGUUCCCCCACACUUAAAUCUUUACUUGUCCUCAAGUAAAGGCAUAUGACAAGAGCAAGAUAGUGAAUAGUGAGUUGACUAGAGAAUGUCCAAGGGAAGUAGAUCUCCAAACAAUGCAUGCUUUUGGACUUAGCUAGUGAAAAUUAAUGGUUAAGAGUGCUACAGAGCAAUAGGACACUAGUAAGCAUGACCAUUUUAAACCUUUACAAUGAUAAAAGAGGAUCAACACGUUUAAAUGAUGAAUGUGCCAAAAGGUUCCUAAAGAGAGCAUGAUCCCGAGAACAAAGCUUGUGAUCAGAUCACUUAUUACCAGGAUCACAACAUUGUGGUUGAACCACUUAUUGAAUUUGAAGGAAGCAAAGAUAUUAUUUUAUCAGUCUCACCAAAGGAACAUACCACCGAUCCCGAGAACAUGGUAUACACCUGGCUCAACCAAAUAUUAGUUUUUUUUGUUUGUCUCCCCAAAGGAACAUACCACCGAUCCCGAGAACAUGGUAUACACCUGGUUUGAUAAUUACAUUUUUAUUUAUUUAUUACUGUCCAAGCUACCAGAUUUCACAUGCCACCGAUCCAGGGAACAUGACAUGCUACUUUAGGUAGACCAGACUUAUAUAUUCAUUAUUACCUAUCUUAAAUGAACAACGCAUAAGCACAAAAAUAGGAAUCAUCACUUCUCCAUGUCUGGUUCACAUGCUACCGAUCCAGGGAAGAUAGCAUGCUAAUCCAUAGUGGUUAGGUGAUUGCUCUCAAUGGGAACACACUUAGCACAAAUUCAGCAUCUAAACAUGGUGAUCUAGGUGUAUCAAGGUAAAAGCAGAAAAUGAUCAAGUUUUCUAGUGUACUAGGGAUUUGAGCACUCAAAACUAAUAACUUCCACAAAUUUCAGCAAAGCAUGCAUGGUGUAGAUCACUAGUUUACAAGGCAUUCAGAAAUCAAGUUCACAAAUUCACAUCAAGCACAAUGCCAAAGGUGAAUUUCAGCUUGACAACAAGUAAUAACUAGCUCAAGCAACCCAACUAGCAAUUGAAUUUAGCAUGUAUUUAUGAUAUUCAGAAUGGGUCAUGAAACAUCUCACCGGGCUUUGAUCAUGUAGCACUCGCUCGAUCACCUCACCAGCUGCAGCUCUUCUCCCUUGCUUCCUCAUGGAUGCUCCAGCUUCACUCUUCCAUAUGUGUGCCCCAUUGCUUCUCCUCAUCGCCAUGCUCUGACUCCACCAGGAUCCCAAGGAAUGUCACCUCGAACCUGGUCAGCAUGUAGUAAACAGUGCAGUAGAAAAAGCCUGAAAUAGGAUUCACACAAAGAACUACAAGUGAUACGGUCGAUGCCCUCCAAGUCAUCAAUGGAAUAUCCAAUUAUAUAAGCAUACCUAUAAAGCACAUAUUUAGGAUGGCAGAAAUCAGCAUGGUCAAUACUCACACGAGGAUGACAUUUAUCAUUAAGCUCAAGACUAGCAUGAAAAUGAUGUGUUUCAUUAAGCAGCACAUGUUUAGGAUGGCAGAAAUCAGCAUGGUCAAUACUCACACGAGGAUGACAUUUAUCAUUAAGCUCAAGACUAGCAUGAGAAAAGUAAUUGUGAUCAUCACAAAUGAGAGCAAUGCCACCAAUAGUGUAUGUAUCAUCAUAUCCAAGUAAAUGAUUUUUCAAAUCAAUCUUAAGUGAUGGCAUCAUGUAAUGCAAGGUAGAAGCAAAUAAAUCAUAAGGACUCAUGUCAUCAAGAGGAUUGGGUAAACCUGACACAUCGUGCUCAUGUAUGAUAAUAGGCCAAUGAAUCUCAGGUUCUUCAUCUUCAUCUACAGCAGCUUCUUGUACUUCUUCAGAAGUAGUAGAUGAUGAGUCUUCAACUUGAUCACUUGGGAAUUGCAGCUCUUGACCAUCUUGUUCCUUGUCUUCUAGUUCAUCUUCUUCAAUCUGAGGUAUCUCUUGCUCAAGGCACUAGCUAUCUUGCUCAACGAAAUGUGAAGGUGUUGGAACCUCACAUGUAUCCAUGGAUAUCUCAGCCACACUCAACUCAAGUUGUGAAGAAAUAGUGUUGCCAGCAUUGACGUUCUUCUCAAUCUUCCUUACUUCUUCCACUAGCUCUUUUCCACUCUUGAUCUUCUUCAUUUCCUCUAGAAUAACCUUCCUAAUAGGAUCAUCCUCGGCACUCCAAGUGAACUCGAGACUAAGCAAUGUGAGUUUGUCUAUAUCAUCAAAGUCAUCUUGUGUGGGCACUUGUGUUGAAGGUGUUGGUUGACCAAAUGGAGGACCAUUUAACUCUAUUGGCAACAUCUCCUGGUGUUGAGGUAUAUGAGUAGAAGGUGAAUAAAAUUGUUGUGGUGCAUAGUUGUUGCUCUCCUCUUCAUACCUAAAUCCCUGCAUUGGAUAACUAGAGGCAAACGAUGAGAUCUCAGGGUUGUUGCUCCUAUAUGACAUAUUCGGGUUUUCAGGCCACCCAUAUGAGUAAUUGUUUUGGUAUGAGCUAUGCUCUUGAGCGAAGCUCAUGCCAAAACAACCUGGAGUGUGAGAGUAGCCAUGCUGACAUUCAGCGGGCAAAUGGCCCUGAAAUCCACAAAUAUGGCAAGUAGGAGCAACAUAAGGAUGGCCUCUGGAAUAAGGAUCGUAAGAACUAGGCCUAUCCUCAAAAACUACUUCUCGCUGCCGAGCUAAAUCAUCUAAUCGAUGGGAAAUCUUACCUAUCAGUUCUUGAAUACUUUCCGUGCUGUUUGUAGUGUUGCUCGCACAAGCAUGAUGAUCUGAAUAGAAUGCCAUUUCUGAGAGGAUAAUCCAACCUACAAAAUGGAAAAGAAGACAAAAAGAUACUAACUAGAAUAGGGAUUAGUGGCUAGAGAUAUAUCACAAAUAUAUGGCACAAGAUGAAAACAAGAAAAACCUAGUCUAUAGCCUAGCACAAUCGCUCGACACUAGUCCCCGACAACGGCGCCAAAAUGAUCAAGUGUAAGUAUAGCGGGGGUUUUACGCCCCAAACUAUGGAUGUCGUGUUCUCCAUAGGGACUAGACGACGGUGACUAUGCUUUGGCUAAAGGUAGGUGACAGAAUUUAGAUGAUGAGAACAGAAAGUAAACCUAAACUAUCAAUGAUUGUCACCAAACAAAAUUGCCGAUAAGCAACAAGGGAGAAUCAGAUUUUACUCAAUGUCUUUUUGGUAUUUUCAUCACACUUGAUAAUCUAAAACACUAACACAAAGGGGAAUAAUAUGACAAGGACACAUAUAUAACUAUCAUACAUGAACAAAGGGAAGAAACAAUACUAAGACAUAUGAAGAAUACUGUUUCACUAAACAAAGUAUAACAUGUCAAAUAUUUCUCAAAGUGACAAGAUAUCAACUAGCCAGCACAAAUGACAUACUAAUCAAGCAUUUAUAUUGAACUUCGAAACUGAACCAAACAGUAGGAUAUUACACUUAACAAAUCUGAAUAUUACAUGUAAUAAAACAUCUCAAUGCUGAAUAUUACAAAGUACUGAACAAAAAACUUCUCAAAGUUACAGAAAUUUGAGAGAGAGAGAGAGAGAGCAGCAGCAGCAGUAGGUAGGUUCAGAGAAGAAGAGUAGCAGGGGAAGUAGAGAGAGAUAGCAGUAGGGGGUUGGGAGCAGCAGCAUUUGGGAGAUGGAGCAGCAUCAUGAGGUUGAGAGAAGAAGGAUGCAGCGAGCAGCAGAGGGAUAGGCGAAAGGGGCAGAAGUGGAGACUCGGGAGAAGAAGCAAGCAGAAGGGCGCAUGAGAAGGAGAAGGAUCAGGAGCAGCAAUAGGGGGUGAUGGAGAAGAGCAGCAGAGGCGUGGGGAAAGAAGAGAGGUGGUGGAGCAGUAGUAGCGCGGUGAAGGUGGAGAUGCGGCGCUGAUGGCGGCGCUGUUGGAUGGUGCGUGAGGGUGCUGGGCGACGCAGCGACGCGAGGUGGUGAGCGGUGCUGGUGGAGAUGGUGGUGGCUUGCGGGGCUUAUGGAUGGAAGGCGCACCACCAUGCUGGUCUGGCCGUGGCGGCGGCCUGAGAUGGAGAAGAAGGCGGGGGAAAGAGAGAGGUGUAGCCAGGCCCAAAGGGGAUCGGUGGCAAGCGCUAGGGAUUUGAUCCCACGAUCAGAUUUGCCACUUUUUGAUUUGGCCCUCCUGCUCCCUUCUUUCUUCGCAAGCACAUCCCUUCCCUUCUCUAGUUUGGCCCUCGGUUUCUUCUUUCCUUCAUGCUCAGGUCCCCCUUCUUUCUUUCCCGUCCUUGUCUUGUAUUCUUCGGCCUCUUCAUCAGAAUCUUGAGGUUUAUAGUGCCUUUGCGCACUUUUCUGCAGAAGAAACAAAUGACGAGUAAAUGAUCUUUUUUUAUGAUUAUCAAGCAAUAUUCAAUCAAUCAUGGCAAGAAUGGACGGAUAUAUCACGAUAGAUGCUACAUUUGAGUACCA